rnacentral:lncRNA from 1 species
UAUAUAUAUAUAUAUAUAUAUAUAUUUGAGCUUCUAUGCUUUUAAAAGUAUCAAAUCAUUGGUGCUUGUAGAUUUUUAAUCAUUGAAUUAAGAGAUGUGCGGCUAGGAUGAUGUGGGCCCUCUAGGGUUGAGUGGGUGAUUAGUUGAAUAGUAUAAUUUAAUGAUUGAAAGUGAUCCGAAGAAUAGAUCUAACAGUAAAAAACUUAGUGCUUUUACAAGCACCAUAGCUGGACUCUAUAUAUAUAUAUAUACAACAAAAAAAAAAAGAAACUGACGAUGAGAAAAUAAUGAUAAGAAAUAGAAUUCAUCUUGCUGAUAAAUAAAAAUAACAGUCGAAAAGAAAGAAAGGGGAAGGACUUGAGCUGACUUGGGAUGGAAUCUACGCUCAACAAUGAAGGAAAAGUUGUCAUGUGGUAAUUUUAAAAAUAAUAAUUUAAAAAAUAUAG